rnacentral:rRNA from 1 species
UACGAAGGGUGCAAGCGUUAAUCGGAAUUACUGGGCGUAAAGGGUGCGUAGGCGGUUCGUUAAGUCUGUCGUGAAAUCCCCGGGCUCAACCUGGGAAUGGCUAUGGAUACUGGCGAGCUAGAGUGUGUCAGAGGAUGGUGGAAUUCCCGGUGUAGCGGUGAAAUGCGUAGAGAUCGGGAGGAACAUCAGUGGCGAAGGCGGCCAUCUGGGACAACACUGACGCUGAAGCACGAAAGCGUGGGGAGCAAACAGG